UACGGGGGGAGCAAGCGUUGUUCGGAUUUACUGGGCGUAAAGGGCGCGUAGGCGGCCACCGCAAGUCGACUGUGAAAUCUCCGGGCUUAACCCGGAAAGGUCAGCCGAUACUGCGGGGCUAGAGUGCAGAAGGGGCAACUGGAACUCUCGGUGUAGCGGUGAAAUGCGUAGAUAUCGAGAGGAACACCUGCGGCGAAGGCGGGUUGCUGGGCUGACACUGACGCUGAGGCGCGAAAGCUAGGGGAGCGAACGGG
rnacentral:rRNA from 1 species